CGCCCAAUAGCUAGCCCCCGAACCAAAAACAACAAAUUACCAUAAAUAACCCCAAACACACUAGUGUUAUAUUAAAUAAAUCAUUCUUCCCCCUUAGUACGGGCGACAGAAAAGGGACUACGGCGCAAUAGAAAAAGUACCGCAAGGGAACGCUGAAAGAGAAAUGAAAGAACCCAGUAAAGCCUUAAAAAGCAGAGAUUUUUACUUGUACCUUUUGCAUCAUGAUUUAGCUAGAAAUGCCCAGGCAAAGAGAACUUUAGUCUGGUUUCCCGAAACUAAGUGAGCUACUCCAAGACAGCCUAUUAAUAGGGCACACCCGUCUCUGUGGCAAAAGAGUGGGAGGAGCUUUGAGUAGAGGUGACAGACCUACCGAACUUAGUUAUAGCUGGUUGCCUGAGAAUUGGAUAGGAGUUCAGCCUCCCGGCUUCUUUUCUCACCCUUGUCCUAACACCCUAUAGACACCCAAAGAAUACCGCGAGAGUUAGUCAAAGGGGGUACAGCCCCUUUGAAAUAAGACACAACUUUUCCAGGAGGGUAAAGAUCAUAAUAAACUAAAGUAAAAUGUUCUGGUGGGCCUAAAAGCAGCCACCCCCCUAGAAAGCGUUAAAGCUCAGACAUACCACUUACCUUCUUAUUCUGAUAACUUAUCUUAACCCCCUAACCUUAUCAGGCCGCCCCAUGCUUUCAUGGGGGUGACCAUGCUAAUAUGAGUAAUAAGAGAGCCUCGACUCUCUCCCCGCACACGUGUAAAUCGGAACGGACAAGCCACCGAACCUUAACGGCCCCAAACAAAGAGGGUAAUGAACAAUAGACUAAACAACUAGAAAAACAUUCAAACUUUAACCGUUAACCCCACACUGGAGUGCCCCCCGGGAAAGACUAAAAGAAAAAGAAGGAACUCGGCAAACACAUAAAGCCUCGCCUGUUUACCAAAAACAUCGCCUCUUGCUGAAAUUAAAGAAUAAGAGGUCCCGCCUGCCCUGUGACUAUAAGUUUAACGGCCGCGGUAUUUUGACCGUGCGAAGGUAGCGCAAUCACUUGUCUUUUAAAUGAAGACCUGUAUGAAUGGCAUAACGAGGGCUUAGCUGUCUCCUUUUUCCGGUCAAUGAAAUUGAUCUCCCCGUGCAGAAGCGGGGAUGAGACCAUAAGACGAGAAGACCCUAUGGAGCUUUAGACACCAAGGUAAGCCAUGUUAAAUACCCCAAAAUAAAGGGCUAAACCAAAUGAAAUUUACCCCCAUGUCUUUGGUUGGGGCGACCGCGGGGAAAUACAAAACCCCCACGUGGAAUGAGAAUACUCUUUCCUACAACUAAGAGCCCCCGCUCUAGUUAACAGAAUUUCUGACCAGCAAGAUCCGGCAACGCCGAUCAACGGACCGAGUUACCCUAGGGAUAACAGCGCAAUCCCCUUUUAGAGCCCAUAUCGACAAGGGGGUUUACGACCUCGAUGUUGGAUUAGGACAUCCUAAUGGUGCAGCCGCUAUUAAGGGUUCGUUUGUUCAACGAUUAAAGUCCUACGUGAUCUGAGUUCAGACCGGAGUAAUCCAGGUCAGUUUCUAUCUAUGCUAUGAUCUUUUCUAGUACGAAAGGACCGAAAAGGAGAGGCCCAUGCUUCAAGUAUGCCUCACCCCCACCUAAUGAAAACAACUAAAAUAGGCAAAAGGGCAUGUCCCCUUUUGCCUAAGACUACGGCAA
rnacentral:rRNA from 1 species